rnacentral:tRNA from 2 species
CGGGGCGUAGCGCAGCCUGGUAGCGCACCUGGUUCGGGACCAGGGGGUCGGUGGUUCAAAUCCACUCGCCCCGACCA